UACGUAGGGUGCAAGCGUUGUCCGGAAUUAUUGGGCGUAAAGAGCUCGUAGGUGGUUUGUCGCGUUGUCCGUGAAAACUCACAGCUCAACUGUGGGCGUGCGGGCGAUACGGGCAGACUGGAGUACUGCAGGGGAGACUGGAAUUCCGGGUGUAGUGGUGAAAUGCGUAGAGAUCCGGAGGAACACCAGUGGCGAAGGCGGCUCGCUGGGCUCUACCUGACGCUGAGGCGCGAAAGCGUGGGGAGCGAACCGG
rnacentral:rRNA from 1 species